rnacentral:rRNA from 1 species
AACGAACGCUGGCGGCAUGCCUAACACAUGCAAGUCGAACGAGACCUUCGGGUCUAGUGGCGCACGGGUGCGUAACGCGUGGGAACCUGCCCUUAGGUUCGGAAUAACUCCCCGAAAGGGGUGCUAAUACCGGAUAAUGUCUUCGGACCAAAGAUUUAUCGCCUUUGGAUGGGCCCGCGUUGGAUUAGCUAGUUGGUAGGGUAAAAGCCUACCAAGGCGACGAUCCAUAGCUGGUCUGAGAGGCUGAUCAGCCACACUGGGACUGAGACACGGCCCAGACUCCUACGGGAGGCAGCAGUGGGGAAUAUUGGACAAUGGGCGAAAGCCUGAUCCAGCAAUGCCGCGUGAGUGAUGAAGGCCUUAGGGUUGUAAAGCUCUUUUACCCGGGAUGAUAAUGACAGUACCGGGAGAAUAAGCUCCGGCUAACUCCGUG